AGUGGCGGGGUGUUUACUGGGCUUAAAGCGCCCGUAGCCGGCCCGGCAAGUCGCUCCUGAAAUCCCAGGGCUCAACCCUGGGGCGGGGGGCGAUACUGCCGGGCUAGGGGGCGGAAGAGGCCGCCGGUACUCCGGGGGUAGGGGCGAAAUCCGUUAAUCCCCGGAGGACCACCAGUGGCGAAAGCGGGCGGCCAGAACGCGCCCGACGGUGAGGGGCGAAAGCCGGGGGAGCAAACCGGGCUCAGGUCGGCGUUGCGCAGACAAUCUAAUCAUCCAGUCCCACCACGCGCGCCAACCCCUCAUCUUUACCAAGCCGACCUGGCCCGGGCUCAAAGGGGAUUAGAUACCCCCGUAGUCC
rnacentral:rRNA from 1 species